rnacentral:rRNA from 1 species
ACUGUAGGCUGCAACUCGCCUACACGAAGUCGGAAUCGCUAGUAAUCGCGGAUCAGCAUGCCGCGGUGAAUACGUUCCCGGGCCUUGUACACACCGCCCGUCACACCAUGGAAGUUUGCAAUGCCCAAAGUCGGCGGCCUAACCAUUUGGAGGGAACCGCCUAAGGCAGGGCAGAUGACUGGGGUGAAGUCGUAACAAGGUAAC